GAAAAGCAGCAUCAUUGAAGGUGAAAAUCCUGUAGAUGAUAUGGACUACCAGGGCAUUUGUGAUGCGAUUUCUAAGAGUCGAGUUGUUUGGGAAUGCAGCUCAAAGUGGGUGGUAAAUUCCAUCUAAGGCUAAAUAUAAGUGAGAGACCGAUAGCAUACAAGUACCGUGAGGGAAAGAUGAAAAGAACUUUGAAAAUAGAGUUAACAGUACGUGAAAUUGCUGAAAGGGAAACGUUUGAAGUUAGUUUUGUAUUCGUUAGAUCAGCUUCGCAAGGAGUGUAUUCUGAUGAUAAGCAAGUCAACAUCAAUCUUUGAGUGUUGGAUAAGGGUUUUGAGGAUGUAGCAAUUUAAUUGUGUUAUAACUUGAGACUUGGAUACRAUGCUUGGGAUUGAGGAACGCGUAGUAAGCUUUGAGCGGAUCAGAAAUGGUCUCCUUACUAUGGAUGUUGGUGAAAUAACUUUAAGCGACCCGUCUUGAAACACGGACCAAGGAGUCUAACAUGCAUGCGAGUAUUAGGGUGUUGAAACCCGAAUGCGUAAUGAAAGUGAAUUUCAAAUGUGAUCCGCAAGGUGCAACAUUGACCGGUCCUGAUUAUUUAUAUGACGGUACUGAGUAAGAGCAUGUAUGUUAGGACCCGAAAGAUGGUGAACUAUGCCUGGAUAGGGUGAAGUCAGAGGAAACUCUGAUGGAAGCUCGUAGCGGUUCUGACGUGCAAAUCGAUCGUUGAAUCUGGGUA
rnacentral:rRNA from 1 species